rnacentral:rRNA from 1 species
GAUGAACGCUGGCGGCGUGCCUAAUACAUGCAAGUCGAGCGAACGGACGAGAAGCUUGCUUCUCUGAUGUUAGCGGCGGACGGGUGAGUAACACGUGGAUAACCUACCUAUAAGACUGGGAUAACUUCGGGAAACCGUAGCUAAUACCGGAUAAUAUUUUGAACCGCAUGGUUCAAAAGUGAAAGACGGUCUUGCUGUCACUUAUAGAUGGAUCCGCGCUGCAUUAGCUAGUUGGUAAGGUAACGGCUUACCAAGGCAACGAUGCAUAGCCGACCUGAGAGGGGGAUCGGCCACCGGGGAACGAGGAAACGGACCAACCCCCGACGGGAGGCAGGGGGAGGAAUCCUUCCGGAAGGGGCAAAAGCGAAGCGGGGAAACGGGGCGGGAGUGAGAAAGGUCUUCGGAUCGUAAACCCUUUUUAUUAGGGAAGAACAAAGGUGUAAGAAACGGUACAAAUUUUACAGGAACCAAAGAAAAAGCCCCGGCUAAAUCCCGG